rnacentral:misc_RNA from 1 species
UUUGGUGCGGCCAACCGACAUGGGGCUGUCUCAUCACUCUCCCUCCCGUCAUUGAAUUUGACAGGGUUGGGAUGCGUGUGAUUGGUUGCCUGUGUAGUUCUACCUUGUUGUGGGUAGCGAAGUUGUCCCUCGAUUGAUUUUUGCUUGCCUUUCUGACUUUUUUUGUCGUUUGGGCAGCCGAAAUGAUGGCAAAAUCCCUGUGUAGAUGCGUGGUCGAAUGGCUUUGUUGCUAUCACUUGGAUUUUUGUCGGCUCUCACGGAUGCAGUGCUUAGUGCUAGCGCUGUGCGACUUUGCCUCGCAGACUUUGGGAGGUCCCUUGUACGAAUCAUAGCUUUCGGAUGCCGUUUGUCGUGUUGCUUGUUUGGCACGCAUAUCGUAUUGUUCUGCCUGGAGUCGGGAUGACGAAAGUCAGAAUGAAGUGUCUGGGGCUUGUUUGCGUACAUGGGGAAUGCCUCUCUGAUAGUAUGAGCAACGAUUUUCGGCUCGUGUCUUGCGAAGGCCUGCCCGUUUGGGUGUUGCUUGAGCUA